rnacentral:tRNA from 1 species
GGAGGGCAGUGGGGGCUGGUGCCCCUUCCGGUCUUCAAAACCGGCGGGAGGCCGGUCGGUCUCCGGUAGGUUCGAUUCCUACAGCCCUCCGCCA